GCCCCAGCCGGCGGGAGGCCCCUUUCCGUGCGGGCAGUGCCAACGGGAGUUUGAAACCAUCAAGGAGAGGAACAAGCACAGAAGAAGACAUCGCCCACGCAAGGAUGCACAGCCUCUCCCCAAGAAGAAAAGGCCAAAUUAGCCCUGCACUUGUCCAGGACUAGCAAGAGUUAGGCCUCAAGAGGAUUAGAUAGAAAUAAGAUAGCUUUUUAAGGUUUUAGGAUUCUUUAUUUGUCCAUUAAAUUUACGUGGUAGGAAUUUCUCAAUUAAUUAGUUAAGAUACAUUAGUAAUAUAAAAGACGUAUUAGUACUAUUAGAUGAUAAGUUGUGUUAAAUUACUAGUAGAUUAAUAGUAUGUUAUUUAUCAUUGCAUGUAAGAGGUUACGUGUUCACUAUGCUCCAUCCUUUCUCAUUUUGUCUUUGUUGAGACAUCAUCUGUCUGUAUCAUUAAACCAAAGUUUGUUCCAUUUUC